rnacentral:rRNA from 1 species
AGAGUUUGAUCCUGGCUCAGAUUGAACGCUGGCGGCAUGCCUUACACACGCAAGUCGAACGGCAGCGCGGGGGCAACCCUGGCGGCGAGUGGCGAACGGGUGAGUAAUACAUCGGAACGUGUCCUGGAGUGGGGGAUAGCUCGGCGAAAGCCGGAUUAAUACCGCAUACGCUCUGUGGAGGAAAGCGGGGGAUCUUCGGACCUCGCGCUCAAGGGGCGGCCGAUGGCGGAUUAGCUAGUUGGUGGGGUAAAGGCCUACCAAGGCGACGAUCCGUAGCUGGUCUGAGAGGACGACCAGCCACACUGGGACUGAGACACGGCCCAGACUCCUACGGGAGGCAGCAGUGGGGAAUUUUGGACAAUGGGGGAAACCCUGAUCCAGCAAUGCCGCGUGUGUGAAGAAGGCCUUCGGGUUG